AACGAACGCUGGCGGCAGGCUUAACACAUGCAAGUCGAGCGCCCCGCAAGGGGAGCGGCAGACGGGUGAGUAACGCGUGGGAAUCUACCCAUCUCUACGGAAUAACGCAUGGAAACGUGUGCUAAUACCGUAUACGUCCUUCGGGAGAACGAUUUAUCGGGGAUGGAUGAGCCCGCGUUGGAUUAGCUAGUUGGUGGGGUAAAGGCCUACCAAGGCGACGAUCCAUAGCUGGUCUGAGAGGAUGAUCAGCCACACUGGGACUGAGACACGGCCCAGACUCCUACGGGAGGCAGCAGUGGGGAAUAUUGGACAAUGGGCGCAAGCCUGAUCCAGCCAUGCCGCGUGAGUGAUGAAGGCCCUAGGGUUGUAAAGCUCUUUCACCGGUGAAGAUAAUGACGGUAACCGGAGAAGAAGCCCCGGCUAACUUCGUGCCAGCCGCCGCGGUAAUAC
rnacentral:rRNA from 1 species